rfam:Candidate division WWE3 bacterium RIFCSPHIGHO2_02_FTLL_38_14 rifcsphigho2_02_scaffold_17918, whole genome shotgun sequence.
AGGGGCGUGGUGAAACGGUAUCACUCUUCUCUCCAAAAGAAGCGUUGAGGGUUCAAUUCCUUCCGCCCCUG